GAUGAACGCUGGCGGCGUGCCUAACACAUGCAAGUCGAGCGGAAAGACGGGGAGAUUGUUCCUCUGCCGUUGGAGGCGGACGGGUGAGUGACAAGUGCAUCAACUACCUAUUAUACUGGGAGCACAUCGGGAGGACGGAGAUAAUACUGGCUAAUAUCUUGAACCGCUUGGUUCAGUAGUGGUUGGCGCUUUUGCUGAUUCUUUUAGAUGGAGUCGCUCUGCAUUAGCUAGUUGGUAAGGGAACGGCUUACCAAGGCGACGAUGCGUAGCCGACCUGAGAGGGUGAUCGGCCACACUGUAACUGAGACGCUGUCCAGACGCCGACGAGUAGCAGCAGUACGGAAUAUUCGGCAAUGGGCGGAAGCCUGACACAGUUACGCCGCGUGAGUGAUGAAGGUCUUCGGAUUGUAAAACUCUGUUGUUUGGUAAGAAAAACUGUGGCUGUACAACCACACGUCGUGACGGUACCUAAAGACAAAGCACCGGCUAACUCCGUG
rnacentral:rRNA from 1 species